rnacentral:rRNA from 1 species
GAAACUGCCUGAUGGAGGGGGAUAACUACUGGAAACGGUAGCUAAUACCGCAUAAUGUCGCAAGACCAAAGUGGGGGACCUUCGGGCCUCAUGCCAUCAGAUGUGCCCAGAUGGGAUUAGCUAGUAGGUGGGGUAACGGCUCACCUAGGCGACGAUCCCUAGCUGGUCUGAGAGGAUGACCAGCCACACUGGAACUGAGACACGGUCCAGACUCCUACGGGAGGCAGCAGUGGGGAAUAUUGCACAAUGGGCGCAAGCCUGAUGCAGCCAUGCCGCGUGUGUGAAGAAGGCCUUCGGGUUGUAAAGCACUUUCAGCGGGGAGGAAGGCG